GUCGAAUCGAUUUUGGAGUAAAUAUCCCAAAUAUCUAACCAAAACACGUUUUAAUUUAUUUUGGCGGAUUACAUAUUUCAGUGUUUCUUAUUAUGGUUCAGGCAAAUAAUCAUUUACAACCCUCUCCCCCUCAAGUAUCAGUAAAAGUAGUUCGCGAGAAUGUCGGAGGCUUUUCGAUAAGACACUCGUAUCCGAAAAGUAUUAACUUUUUUCGGAUAAUUUAUGAAACGAGCAACUUUAAAAUUUUACAUUUCUGUUAUUUUUUUCUCACCCUUUUUUAGGGUUAACAUCACUGUCCACUUUUGGUUUUCAACGAGAUUUUCGUUCGAUGAAAAUUUAAAAUGUCAACACGUUAUUUUGUUAAUAUAACUAAAAUGGCAUUUAUUUAUAGAAUAUUAAAUAAAUAUAGUUUGUUAUUUUCAAAUCAAAAGUGUACAGUAAUU